rnacentral:rRNA from 1 species
GUGGGGAAUAUUGGACAAUGGGCGAAAGCCUGAUCCAGCCAUGCCGCGUGUGUGAAGAAGGUCUUCGGAUUGUAAAGCACUUUAAGUUGGGAGGAAGGGCAGUAAGUUAAUACCUUGCUGUUUUGACGUUACCGACAGAAUAAGCACCGGCUAACUUCGUGCCAGCAGCCGCGGUAAUACGAAGGGUGCAAGCGUUAAUCGGAAUUACUGGGCGUAAAGCGCGCGUAGGUGGUUUUGUAAGUUGGAGGUGAAAUCCCCGGGCUCAACCUGGGAACUGCCUACAAAACUGCAUGACUAGAGUACGGUAGAGGGUAGUGGAAUUGCCUGUGUAGCGGUGAAAUGCGUAGAUAUAGGAAGGAACACCAGUGGCGAAGGCGACUACCUGGACUGAUACUGACACUGAGGUGCGAAAGCGUGGGGAGCAAACAGGAUUAGAUACCCCUGUAGUCC